rnacentral:rRNA from 1 species
UACGUAGGGCGCAAGCGUUGUCCGGAAUUAUUGGGCGUAAAGAGCUCGUAGGCGGCCUGUUACGUCUGCUGUGAAAUCCCGGGGCUUAACCCCGGGCGUGCAGUGGAUACGGGCAGGCUGGAGGCAGGCAGGGGAGAACGGAAUUCCCGGUGUAGCGGUGAAAUGCGCAGAUAUCGGGAGGAACACCGGUGGCGAAGGCGGUUCUCUGGGCCUGUACUGACGCUGAGGAGCGAAAGCG